rnacentral:rRNA from 1 species
GGAACCCUACGGGGGGCAGCAGUGAGGAAUAUUGGUCAAUGGACGCAAGUCUGAACCAGCCAUGCCGCGUGCAGGAAGACGGCUCUAUGAGUUGUGAACUGCUUUUGUACGAGGGUAAACGCAGAUACGUGUAUCUGUCUGAAAGUAUCGUACGAAUAAGGAUCGGCUAACUCCGUGCCAGCAGCCGCGGUAAUACGGAGGAUUCAAGCGUUAUCCGGAUUUAUUGGGUUUAAAGGGGGCGUAGGCGGUCGGAUAAGUUAGAGGGGAAAUCCCGAGGCUAAACUUCGGAAUUGCCUUUGAUACUG